rnacentral:rRNA from 1 species
GAUCCUGGCUCAGGAUGAACGCUGGCGGCGUGCUUAACACAUGCAAGUCGAGCGAAGCACUUAGGAAAGAUUCUUCGGAUGAUUUCCCAUUUGACUGAGCGGCGGACGGGUGAGUAACGCGUGGGUAACCUGCCUCAUACAGGGGGAUAACAGUUAGAAAUGACUGCUAAUACCGCGUAAGACCACAGCACCGCAUGGUGCAGGGGUAAAAACUCCGGUGGUAUGAGAUGGACCCGCGU